UAAUUAAAACAAAGCAUUGUGAUGGUCCCUACAGAUGCUAACAGAAUGUGAUUUAUGCUCAGUGCUUUGCAUGUCAAAGUGAAGAAAUUCAUCCAAGCGCGGGUAAACGAUGGGAGUAACUAUGAAUCUGUUAAGGUAGCCAUAUGCCUUUGUGUCAUCUAAUUAGUGAUACGCAUGAAUGGAUUAACGAUAUUCCCACUAUCCCAAGUUACUAUCUAGAGAAACCACGGCCAAGGGAACGAUCUUGGUAGAAUUAGAGGGGAAAGAAAAACAUGUUGAGAUUGACUCUAGUCUGACUUUUUGAAAUGACUUGAGAGGUGUAGAAUAAGUGGGAUUUUUUUUCAACGUAAGUGAAAUACCACUACUUUUAAUGUUAUUUUACUUAUUUCAUGGGGUAGAGAUGAGGAGUUUCACAUAUGUUAAAUGAUAAUGCACAUUUCCCAUAUAUUCCUUUUUAUUUCCAAGACAUAACCUUCAUCAUUUACUGGAUUGCAAUUUGGUACAAUUUCCAAAGGAAUUUCCCAUAGUUGGUUGAGAGGAAAAAUUGUGUCCCUGGUUUUUAUUGCCUCUCUCUUUUCAUU
rnacentral:ncRNA from 1 species